GCCCUGUGGUUACUGGAGCCUGAGUCUUGUUCAGUGCUGCAGUUAUAUAAAGGGCCUAUAUUAACACUGUAAUUUUUGCAUGGCAGCUGAGUGUUUUUUUUUUUUAGCUGCCAUAGCCCGAUUGCAGUGACAGAU